UACAUAGAAAAUAAACAGAAAUUUAAUGAUAGGAUAGUACAAAUUAUAUGAAGCACCGAGAGACAUAUAAAUAUUUGUUCAUUAAUGACCGUUUUAGGAAAUUAUUAUAUUAUCAACUAGAUACAAGGGAAUAUGUAUAAUAAGAAAUUUCUCUGCGUAUAUAUCUACUUAACUAUUAACCUAGCACUUGAUUUACAUAUAGGUAUGCACGAAUACGCAGAUGAAUAUAAACAAAUCUAUAAACAUAUAUAAGCAUACGCACAAGCAAAAAGGAAACACGCGUAUAUAUGAAUGUAUGUAUAUGUACACUUACAAACACACGGCAAUAUAUAUAUAUGUGUGUGUAUAUAUAUAUAUAUAUAUAUAUAUAUAUAUAUAUAUAUAUAUAUAUAUUUAUAGAUAGAUAGCUAUAGAUAUAUGUAUGUAUAUAUAUAUUUAUAUAUGUGUAUAUAUAUAUAUAUAUAUAUAUAUAUAUAUAUAUAUAUAUAUAUAUAUAUAUAUAUAUAUAUAUGUAUAUUUAUAUAUAACGUUCAUACCCAUAAGGUAAUAUAUAUAUAUAUUUGUACAUAUAUAAGUGCGUGCAUGUGCAUGUGAAUUUAUUUAACAUACAAAUGUAUGAUUUUUCAUUUAAGCAUUCAUUCAGCAAUAUACAUACAUAUAUAUAUAUAUAUAUGUGUGUGUGUGUGUGUGUGUGUGUGUGUGUGUUUAACUAACUAUCUAUGUAUGCAUGUAUGUAUGUAUGUAUAUAUACACAUACAGGGAUAUACAUGUAUAUAUAUCAUAGAGUUAUGCAUAUAUAUAUAUAUAUACAUAUAUAUAUAUAUAUAUAUAUAUAUAUAUAUAUAUAUAUAUAUAUAUAUAUAUAUAUAUAUAUAUAUAUAUAUAUAUAUUAUAUAUAUAUAUAUUAUAUAUCUUACCAUUACUAUAUAAUGAAAGUGAGGGGUUGAGGCAUAGAUACGCGUAUAUAUAUCAAGGUUCGCUUGUUUGUAUUUAAACAAUUUACAUUAUUUAUAUGUUCCUACGUGAUUGAAUAUUGUCUUAAUAUGAUUUUAUAUGAAUAUAUAUACAUAUAUAACCAUAUAAAUGCAUACAUAUGCAUAUAAGAUAUAUAUAGGUGUAGAUAAUUCUACUUCUUUUUAAAAACGGGGAUAUAUGCAGACAUAUAAUAUAAAUAUGCAUAUAUAUAUACAUAUAAUUAAUCAAAAUAAGAAAACACAAAAAAAAAACAGACCAACGCGAGGAUGUGGAACAAAUAAAGUAAUAUUGGACGCUCAGGAAAGAAGGGAAGAAGGAUGUAUGUGUAUAUGUAUGUAUAUAUAUAUAUAUAUGGGUAUGUGCAUAUAUAUAUGAACAUAUAUAUAUGCACAUAUAUAUGUUUAUGUACAUAUAUAAACAUAUGUAUGUAUAUUUAUAUAUGCAUGUUUUUACAAAUACAGUCACACACAUGUAUAUAUAUAUAUAUGUAUUCAUAUAUAUAUACUCACAGUAUAUAUAUAUAUAAACAUACAUUUAUAUAAAUGCACAUUUAUAUAUAAUAUAUAUAUAUAUUAUAUAUAUAUAUAUAUAUUAUACAUAUGUUUAUAUUUGCACAUGUAUACUUAUAUAUUUUCACCAUAUGUAAGUACUUGUUUGUAACUAUAUUUAUAAUAUGAAUAUACAUAUAUGCAUUGAUAUAUAUAUAUGUAUACAUACAUACAUAUAUAUAUAUAUAUUAUAUAUAUACAUAUAUAUAUAUAUUUAUACAAGUAUACUACAUACAUGUGUACAUUUAUGUACAUAUAUAUAUGCGUAUAUAUGUACUUCGUAUAAAUAUAAUAUAUAUAUAUAUAUAUAUAUAUGUGUGUGUGUGUGUGUGUGUGUGUGUGUGUGUGAGUAUGUAUGUACGUAUACACAUCUAUAUAAAUAUAGAGAAAUAUACGGAGAGAGUGAAGUGAUAAUGGGACAUAUGCGGAAAGAAACAUUGAAUAAUAAUACCAAGAUAAAAUGUUGGAUAGAUAGAAAUACUAUUGAACAGUUUAUCCACAUGAACAUUAUGAUGGUAGACAUUCAAUAAUUCAGUGAAAUUUAUGCAUAUUUCAAUCUGCAUUAUAUGAAGUUUUGUUGCAGCAUCGAACACGAAGAUACUCUUAUGUAUAAGCACUGUUUGGCAUAAAGUAAUACAUGCACGCAUACAUACAUGUAAUACACACACACGCAAACACACAGACACACACACAAAUAUAUAUAUAUAUAUAUAUAUAUAUAUAUAUAUAUAUAUAUAGGCGCAUGGUCCCGGGUUCAGUCCCGUGGCAUCUUCGGAAAGUGUCUUCUGCUAUAGCCCCGGGCCGACCAAUGCCUUCAGAGUGGAUUUGGUAGACGGAAACUGAAAGAAGCCUAUCGUAUAUAUGUAUAUAUAUGUAUAUGUGUGUGUAUGUGUGUGUAUAUGUAUAUUUAUAUAUAUAUAUGUAUAUAUAUAUAUAUAUAUAUAUAUUUAUGUAUAUAUAUAUAUAUGUACAUAUAU
rnacentral:lncRNA from 1 species